rnacentral:miRNA from 14 species
UGUGUGUGUGUGUGUGUGUGUGUGUGUGUGUGUGUUUGUAGGUAUGCAGGGAGCUGACCAUACGCUCAAAGCACCAAACACACAAAUCCUCCAAUCAGCAGGACACACACACAUGCACACACACACGCACACGCACA